GCUGUUGGCCGAGGUUGGAGUAGCCAGGCGGAAGGCAUGGCCAGCCGUUGAGAAAUGCUUGUUGAAGUUUUAGAUAAUCAUGGAUUUAUCGGUGGUGACCGUGUUACCUAGCCUCAGUGCAGUGGGCAGCUGGGAGGAGGUGCACUUGUUCUCCAUGGACUUUACAGUGUCCCAGAACUUUUUGGAGUUAGAGCUACAGGAUGCAAAUUUCUGCAUGAAAAAGCUGGCAUUUGCUUUCCUGACUGACUGCGUGUAUUGGUUCCUGACUUCCCUGAACAGUUGCAUAUCGCGGGGACUGUUCGAUGCUAUUGCAGUCCGCCACAGGAUGUUUUUGUGCUGGUCGAGGGCAGUCAGGUCUGGAGUGAACCAAGGGCUGUAUCUGUUCUUAGUUCUGCAUUUUUUGAACGGAGCAUGCUUAUCUAAGAUGGUGAGGAAGUUACUUUUAAAGAAUGACCAUGCAUCCUCAACUGACGGGAUGAGGUCAAUAUCCUUCCAGGAUACCUGGGCCAGGUUGAUUCGAAAGGCCUACUCGCAGAAGUGUUUUAGGGAGCGUUUGACAGUGAUGAGGGGUGGUCGUUUGACCGCGGACCCAUCGCAGAUACAGGCAAUGAGACAGUGAUCGCUGAGAUCCUGAUUGAAAACAGCGGAGGUGUAUUUGGAGGGCCAGUUGGUCAGGAUGACGUCUAUGAGGGUGUCCUUGUUUAAAGAUUUAGGGUGGCCUGUGAUGACAAAAAGGGCUAGUCAUCUCAUCACUCUCACGAGUGUGGGUCUAAGGCACUGCAUCUCAGUGCUACAGGCGUCACUACAUACCCUGGUUCGAUCCCGGGCUGUAUCACAACCUGGCGGUGCACAAUUGGCCCAUUGUCGUCCGGGUUAGGGGACGGUUUAGCCGGUGUAGGCAGUCAUUGUAAAUACGAAUUUGUUCUUAACUGACUUGCCUAGUUAAAUACAUUUAAAAAAAGGACAAGGCCCAGGUGGUAAAAAAAGUGACCCUACAGGAAGUAUUCACACCCCUUUAUUAUAUCCACAUUUUGUUGUGUUACUGAAUUUAAAAUGGAUUAAAUUGCUAUUCUUUGCCAUUGGCCUACACACAAAGCUCCAUGUCGAAGCGGAAUUAUGUUUUUAUAAUUCUUUUACAAAUUCAUUAAAAAUGAAAAGCUGAAAUGUCUCGAGUCAAUAACUAUUCAACCCCCUUUGUUAUGGCAAGACUAAAUAAGGCCAGGAGAAGAAAUGUGCUUAACUAGUCACAUAAUAAGUUACAUGGACAAUAUUAGUGUUUAAAAUGAUUUUUUAAUGACUACCUCAUCUCUGUACCCCACACAUACAAUUAUCUGUAAGGUCCCUCAUCUCUGUACCCCACACAUACAAUUAUCUGUAAGGUCCCUCAUCUCUGUACCCCACACAUACAAUUAUCUGUAAGGUCCCUCAUCUCUGUACCCCACACAUACAAUUAUCUGUAAGGUCCCUCAUCUCUGUACCCCACACAUACAAUUAUCUGUAAGGUCCCUCAUCUCUGUACCCCACACAUACAAUUAUCUGUAAGGUCCCUCAUCUCUGUACCCCACACAUACAAUUAUCUGUAAGGUCCCUCAUCUCUGUACCCCCACACAUACAAUUAUCUGUAAGGUCCCUCAUCUCUGUACCCCACACAUACAAUUAUCUGUAAGGUCCCUCAUCUCUGUACCCCCACACAUACAAUUAUCUGUAAGGUCCCUCAUCUCUGUACCCCACACAUACAAUUAUCUGUAAGGUCCCUCAUCUCUGUACCCCCACACAUACAAUUAUCUGUAAGGUCCCUCAUCUCUGUACCCCACACAUACAAUUAUCUGUAAGGUCCCUCAUCUCUGUACCCCCACACAUACAAUUAUCUGUAAGGUCCCUCAUCUCUGUACCCCCACACAUACAAUUAUCUGUAAGGUCCCG